rfam:Lupinus angustifolius cultivar Tanjil chromosome LG10, whole genome shotgun sequence.
AAGCAAUUGAGGUAUUGGCGUGCCUCAAUUUGAAGACAUGGUUAUUAUGGAAACAAGCCAUGUAGUUUUAAUUGAGCCGCGUCAAUAUCUUAAUUAUUUUC